GUAACAUGCUGGGUGGUACAGAGUGAUGGAACCCUCAGACAGUGAAGAAAUGAUCAUACCUUGAUCCUGAUACAAACACUUCAAUUGGGAAGAGCUGGUUUGGAUUCUAGCUCUUAAGGAAAGUCAUCUCAGCUAGGAGAGGCAGAAAUGAAGAGGGUCACUAAUGCAUGCUUACUAAAUAACAGUUUGUGUCAAGCGACACUGGUGGUAACUCAGGCACCUGCUUGGCUGUGGCAAGACUUGAGCAUUUGUGACCAUUUUACCUCUUCCUCCCACAUGACACGCACAUCUGAGGCUUUGGGGACAAUAAAACUGUAAGAAAAAGACAGAGCGCUGGACAGAAUGGUGCACAGAAUCCUCCUGCAAUACCAACAGAAAGGACAGGAGCUGGACCUUUUAUCAGCUGCUUUUGAGGCUGACUGUUGAGCUAUCUGUGUAGGUGCUGUGACACUGACAGAAACCCCAUUUCCCAAGGCUAUGGUGGGAUUAUUUUGCGAACAACUUCCCUGCU